ACGGCCUACCAAAGCAACGAUCAGUAGCCGGCCUGAGAGGGUGAACGGCCACAUUGGGACUGAGACACGGCCCAAACUCCUACGGGAGGCAGCAUG
rnacentral:rRNA from 1 species